rnacentral:lncRNA from 1 species
AAAAGUCUGAAAUGUGAUGUUUCAAUCCUCUUUUCUUAGCUCCAUUUUCUUUUGUACCGCCGUUAUCGUAGAUCUGCCAACAAUAAUGACUUGUUGAUACGCUAGCUUGUUUGUCAAAACUGUAACAAUUCGAUCCGCUAGCAAUAAUAACUCGUUAAACUCAAACCAAAGGCCUAAAAUGUUUAAACCCCGUUACUAUUAUUAGAAUGCGAAUUCUCAUAUAUUUUCAUUUAUUUAUUUAUUUUUUAUCUGAUAUAUUACAAAAAUUGCUACUGAAUCUAUGGCCCAAUCCUUCAUGCACGUCGCAUAUUCAUUCGAAAUUUAAAAUUUUUAACUUCACGUAAUUCUGGGCCCGCCUAUUUCUUGCCGAAACUCUCUCUUUGACACGAAGCCAUUUUCGAUGCCACGAAUCUUCUUUUUGAGUUUCAGUCACCAAGUCGUUCUUUUUUUUCACUUUUGUUACUAAAAGUAUACAGAGCUUAGCUGAAUUAUAAAUUAUUUUGGUUUAAUUUUCCAACUUUUAAAAUUUUAAUUUUAUUAGUCAAAUUUUAAAUUUGUUUGAUUUAAAUCAAUCAAUGAUACAUUGACUUUAAAAUUUAAAUACGUUGUUAAUUUAUCUUUGCAGAUUUAGUUAGUUAGUAUAUUUCAUACAAUUCUUGCAGUUAUAAGUUUAUUAAAGUAAAUAAUCAGCUUAAAUUUUAAAGUCAAAAUGUCGUUGACAGACUCAAAUCAAACAUAUUAAAAAGUUUGACAGUAAAAUCAAAGUUUUAAAAGUUUGGAUAAUAAAUUCAAAAUAGUCCGUAAUUCAGAUAAGUUCUAAAAGUUCUUAUCAAUUUUGUUUAUCAAAUUUGAGAUACCGUUUGAUUUAGGUAUUAGGGAGGGAAAAAUAAG